rnacentral:tRNA from 1 species
CUUUAGGUGUCCGAUAAAGGUAAUGGUCUCUUAAACCAUCUAUAGUUAAUCUUCUAAAGA